rnacentral:misc_RNA from 1 species
AUUUUAGACAACUUUUGUUAGUGCGCACAGAAAUCCAUGAGCCAGGCGCCGGUGUUUUGCGCGCAUGCAAAUUUUGGGACCCGGAGGUUAUAUAUGGGAGUGGGAUGAGUCGAUGGCAAAGAGCGACAAAAGAGUUUUGCAAGUGGCUUCGGCUACUGCAGAGCUUGGCUGAAACUCUAGGUCAGAGGCUGUAUAUAUAGGUAAGUUUGGCGAGGGACUGUUGCUGGUCCAGGGCGCCUGGGGUAAAGUCAUAGAAAUAGGGCCUGGGUUCUCCAGUGGGGAGUUCCCGAAAGCUCUCCCUAAAACUUUAUCACUUUCCCUCACUUCCCCCCGCGUACUCUAGGGUGCGCACCUCAGCAAAGCUUCGGCGGCGCUGUGUGGCCUCGCGAUUUAUCGCCCAAGUCUCGGGAUGACAACGUCUCCCCGAGCAAGGAAAGAAACAGUGGAUUACUAGGCUAUGCCAAAGAAAUCCCAAACCUCAAGAUCACUCCGAUCUUUCUUACUACGAGUCAGUGGACAACCCCAAAAAAAUAACUUCUUC